CCUACGGGCGACAGCAGUGAGGAAUAUUGGUCAAUGGACGAGAGUCUGAACCAGCCAAGUAGCGUGAAGGAUGACUGCCCUAUGGGUUGUAAACUUCUUUUAUAUGGGAAUAAAAUGUUCCACGUGUAGGAUUUUGUAUGUACCAUAUGAAUAAGGAUCGGCUAACUCCGUGCCAGCAGCCGCGGUAAUACGGAGGAUCCGAGCGUUAUCCGGAUUUAUUGGGUUUAAAGGGAGCGUAGGUGGAUUGUUAAGUCAGUUGUGAAAGUUUGCGGCUCAACCGUAAAAUUGCAGUUGAAACUGGCAGUCUUGAGUACAGUAGAGGUGGGCGGAAUUCGUGGUGUAGCGGUGAAAUGCUUAGAUAUCACGAAGAACUCCGAUUGCGAAGGCAGUUCACUGGACUGCAACUGACACUGAGGCUCGAAAGUGUGGGUAUCAAACAGGAUUAGAUACCCUGGUAGUC
rnacentral:rRNA from 1 species